rnacentral:lncRNA from 1 species
AAUUUCGGGUGUUUCCAUGGUCAAGUACGAAGUUAUGCCAUAUUGGUGUACUAGUAUAAGAACUUCUCAAUGCACAAACUGAAAAUUUGCCGAUUUUAGAGUACACUUUGGUUUCAUAAUAUUGCAUACCAUUAAUUGUGGAUAGAGCAGUUGGAUUUGCAUGAAUUUUUAUCUAAUUUUGAGCUGAUUAUUGAAAGAAUUAAGUGAUGUUUAUGAUUGCUUAAUUGGUGGGGCUAUUUCCUCUCCCUUUCUGGCUGCAAAUGCACAUUUUCUUUUGCUUAACACCUAAAAUAACUUUCAGAUACAAUUUUCCCAAUCCUUAAAUUGCCACACCUCUCUUUUUCUGUCGCUUUCUAGUCUACAUGCUGUCAUGUUCCUAUUUCCAUCUACAAAAUGAUGUUUCUUCCCGUUUUGUGUUUCUUUAGUGCAUAAGAUGAAGAACAUUGGCUUCCUCCACCCAAGAAAGGUUAUAAAAAAAAAAAAAAAAACCAAUUGGAUCGGAUUAUUUUGGUAGAAACUGUUGCAUACGUGACAAUUUGAUCUUCACUUCUUAGCUAUCCUAAGAUUAAGGAAAGAUGAACUAAAUAAGAGAGAGGGAAAGAAUGGUAUUGAAAGGGCCCAUAGAUGGACCUCAAACAAGAAAUUCCUCAUAGAGGGAGGGAGAGAAAGAAGGGGGUGGGCCCAUUUUGUGUUUCUUCAGUGCAUAAGAUGAAGAACAUUGGCUUCCUCCACCCAAGAAAGGUUAAAAAAAAACAAUUGGAACAAAUUAUUUUGGUAGAAACUGUUGCAUAUGUAACAUGUUUGAUCUUCAGUUCUUAGUUAUCUUAAGAUUAAGGAAAGAUGAACAAAAUAAGAGAGGGAAAAAAUGGUACUGAAAGGGCCCAUAGAUGGACCUCAAACAAGAAAAUCCUAAGAGAGGGAGGG